UAGCUCAGUAGGUAGAGCACUUCCAUGGUAAGGAAGAGGUCAGCGGUUCGAAUCCGCU
rnacentral:tRNA from 1 species